AACGAACGCUGGCGGCAUGCCUAACACAUGCAAGUCGAACGAACCCUUCGGGGUGAGUGGCGCACGGGUGCGUAACACGUGGGAACCUGCCCUUAGGUUCGGAAUAACACAGAGAAAUUUGUGCUAAUACCGGAUAAUGUCUUCGGACCAAAGAUUUAUCGCCUUUGGAUGGGCCCGCGUAGGAUUAGCUAGUUGGUGAGGUAAAGGCUCACCAAGGCGACGAUCCUUAGCUGGUCUUAGAGGAUGAUCAGCCACACUGGGACUGAGACACGGCCCAGACUCCUACGGGAGGCAGCAGUGGGGAAUAUUGGACAAUGGGCGAAAGCCUGAUCCAGCAAUGCCGCGUGAGUGAUGAAGGCCUUAGGGUUGUAAAGCUCUUUUACUGGGGAUGAUAAUGACAGUACCCAGAGAAUAAGCCCCGGCUAACUCCGUGCCAGCCGCCGCGGUAA
rnacentral:rRNA from 1 species